rnacentral:rRNA from 1 species
UUUUUUUAGUAUAAUUUUAAAAGUAUAUUCUGCCCUAUGAUUAAUUUUAAAUGGCUGCAGUAUUUUGACUGUGCAAAGGUAGCAUAAUCAUUAGUCAUUUAAUUGUUGACUGGAAUGAAUGGAUAAAUGAGCAAUUAAUUUUUUUAAAUUUAUUUUUAGAAUUUUAUUUUUAAGUAAAAAAGCUUAAUUAUUUUUUAGGGACGAUAAGACCCUAUAGAACUUUAUUAUAAAAUUAAUUUAAAAAUUUUUGGUUUAAAAUUUAUUUAUUUUUUUAUUUAUUUUUUUGUUGGGGUGACAAAUAAAUUAAAACUUUAUUUUUUUAAUUCAUUUAUUUAUGAUUUUUUUGAUCCAUAUUUUAGAAAAAAGAAAUAGUUACCUUAGGGAUAACAGCGUAAUUUUAAUGGAAAGUUCAUAUUUAUAUUAAAGUUUGCGACCUCGAUGUUGAAUUAAGAUAAAUUUGAGGGGUAGUUUUUUCAUUUUUAAGUCUGUUCGACUUUUAAAUUCUU